AAUGACACUAAAAUACGUGGUGUCGUAGACAGUGAAGUUGGUUAUCAGGAACUGUAGAGACAUCUUGAUCAGCUGGGUGCUCUAGGAGUGUUACAGGUGCUGUCGAAGAAGCCUUGGCAAGUUGUUGGAGUGCAUUUUGCUGAUGGUGAGCUAAUGGUGGAGCAGGUUAAUAAUUAGGACGCUGGAUAAGAUUACUUGGUCCUGGAUGGAGUUGAACCUGUCGAGCAUGCUGGAGUUGCACUCACCCAGCCAUGAAAUUUCCAUUGACAUGAACAGAUUCAAGGGGACAGAUUCCCCAUUUACCAGAUCAGAGGUCUGCACCAUUGAUUAGGAAAUCUUUCAUCUUUCAUCUGGAGAAUUUAAAAGAAAUUUACUGAUUACAUGUCAAGUAAAA